UUAUCAUUGAAAGAUCCCCGAAGGGAGACCCUUACUCAAGUCUCGGGAAAUCGGGGACCCCAGACACAGAGAGACCA
rnacentral:pre_miRNA from 14 species